UAACAAUGUUUAUGAAUUCAACUUUUUGAUAAAUAAAAUUUUGAAACUCCAAAAUAGUGAAAUGGCUGAUGAAACUAGAAAUUUUUGUGUAAAAUGCGAUGAAAAAAUAGGCGAUUCUUCAAAUAACACGCUGAAAUGCAACGGACCUUGUAACAAAGGUCUUCACUAUACCUGCAGUUCUUAUAAUACUUCAGAGUUGAAAUUUUUGGAAAGCAACAAGGACAACAUCAAAUGGUUUUGCGAUGGAUGUAAACAAGUUAAUGAAGUUAGAGUUUCACAAUAAGCACAGAAUAUGCGAAGAAGAGUGCCAGGUUUCAAGAAGCCCCAAGAAACUUCCUUACCUAUUUUUAUAUAUGUAAGAUCUGCUGUUUGUUUUCUAUUUGCUAUAAAAUAACUUGUUUAAAUAAUUCAAGAAUCAAGUUCAAGGUAUCAGGACAGUUAUUUAAAAAUUUGGUUAUCAGCAGAGUACAUAUGUAAAAAAGAGGUAAAACUAGUACAAUACCUGUAAAUAGUAGAUUUAUUUUGUAAUAAUUAUUUUGAAAUGUUAUAUCUAUCUUUAAUAAAUCUUUGAAUUUUAAA